AUUGAACGCUGGCGGCAUGCCUUACACAUGCAAGUCGAACGGUAACGGGCCUUCGGGUGCCGACGAGUGGCGAACGGGUGAGUAAUACAUCGGAACGUGCCCGAUCGUGGGGGAUAACGAGGCGAAAGCUUUGCUAAUACCGCAUACGAUCUACGGAUGAAAGCAGGGGACCGCAAGGCCUUGCGCGGGCGGAGCGGCCGAUGGCCGAUUAGGUAGUUGGUGGGAUAAAAGCUUACGAAGCCGACGAUCUGUAGCUGGUCUGAGAGGAUGAUCAGCCACACUGGGACUGAGACACGGCCCAGACUCCUACGGGAGGCAGCAGUGGGGAAUUUUGGACAAUGGGCGCAAGCCUGAUCCAGCCAUGCCGCGUGCAGGAUGGAGGCCUUCGGGUUGUAAACUGCUUUUGUACGGAACGAAAAGCCUUCUUUUAAUACAGGAGGGUCAUGACGGUACCGUAAGAAUAAGCACCGGCUAACUACGUG
rnacentral:rRNA from 1 species